rnacentral:rRNA from 1 species
UGGGGAAUAUUGCACAAUGGGCGCAAGCCUGAUGCAGCCAUGCCGCGUGUGUGAAGAAGGCCUUCGGGUUGUAAAGCACUUUCAGCGAGGAGGAAGGUGGUGAGCUUAAUACGCUCAUCAAUUGACGUUACUCGCAGAAGAAGCACCGGCUAACUCCGUGCCAGCAGCCGCGGUAAUACGGAGGGUGCAAGCGUUAAUCGGAAUUACUGGGCGUAAAGCGCACGCAGGCGGUUUGUUAAGUCAGAUGUGAAAUCCCCGGGCUCAACCUGGGAACUGCAUUUGAAACUGGCAAGCUAGAGUCUCGUAGAGGGGGGUAGAAUUCCAGGUGUAGCGGUGAAAUGCGUAGAGAUCUGGAGGAAUACCGGUGGCGAAGGCGGCCCCCCUGGACGAAGACUGACGCUCAGGUGCGAAAGCGUGGGGCAGCAAACAGGAUUAGAUACCCUGGUAGUCCAGCGCUGUAAAACGAUGUCGAUUUGGAGGUUGUGCCCCUUGAGGCGUGGCUUCCGGAGCUAACGCGUUAAAUCGACCGCCUGGGGGAGUACGGCCGCAAGGUUAAAACUCAAAUGAAUUGAC